rnacentral:rRNA from 1 species
UACAGAGGGGGCAAGCGUUAUUCGGAAUUAUUGGGCGUAAAGGGCGCGUAGGCGGCUUUGCAAGUGACGGGUGAAAGCCCUCGGCUUAACCGAGGAACUGCCUGUCAGACUGUGAGGCUUGAGACCGGGAGAGGUGAGUGGAAUUCCGGGUGUAGCGGUGGAAUGCGUAGAUAUCUGGAGGAAUACCGGUGGCGAAGGCGGCAUCCUGGACCGAGAUUGACACUGAGGAGCGAAAGCCAGGGGAGCAAACGGG